GAUGAAGAACGCAGUGAAAUGCGAUAAGUAAUGUGAAUUGCAGAAUUCAGUGAAUCAUCGAAUCUUUGAACGCACAUUGCGCCCCCUGGUAUUCCGGGGGGCAUGCCUGUCCGAGCGUCAUUACAACCCUCAAGCUCAGCUUGGUGUUGGGCCCCGCCGCCCCGGCGGGCCCUAAAGUCAGUGGCGGUGCCGUCCGGCUCCGAGCGUAGUAAUUCUUCUCGCUCUGGAGGUCCGGUCGUGUGCUCGCCAGCAACCCCCAAUUUUUUUCAGGUUGACCUCGGAUCAGGUAGGGAUACCCGCUGAACUUAAGCAUAUCAAUAAGCGGAGGG
rnacentral:misc_RNA from 1 species